rnacentral:rRNA from 1 species
UACGGAGGGUGCGAGCGUUGUCCGGAAUUACUGGGCGUAAAGCGUGCGUAGACGGUUAUUUAAGUCGGGUGUGAAAGCCCCGGGCUCAACCUGGGAAUUGCAUUCGAGACUGAAUAGCUAGGGUACGGUAGAGGGAAGUGGAAUUUCCGGUGUAGCGGUGAAAUGCGUAGAUAUCGGAAGGAACAUCAGUGGCGAAAGCGGCUCUCUGGGACGGUACUGACGCUGAGACGCGAAAGCGUGGGGAGCAAACAGG